UAACAAAGAAAUCCUAAUAAAUAAUUAAAGGAUUUAGUAGUACACACCUCUUAAGUAUAUAUCCAAACAAAACGAAAAUGGAUUAAAAGGAAAACAUGGGGUAGGAAUAGGGGGUAUGGGGUGGGAUGAAAUGAAUCUUAAAUGGUUGCUGCCGUUUCAUUAGAAAACUUUUGCGUUUUGUUGCACAGCAGAGGAUCCUUCUCCAUCGGUCCCUCCUCACCUCACUUUCUCCGCCCCACAUCGUCGAUCCCCAAUUUCGAAGAAGUUUGUCGACUCCUCUGCCACCGCCGCGCUGCUCCGACGCCACGCCGGCGGGUCAGUCUUCGCCAGCUACCGUCGCUGCUGUCCGCCCUCACUACUGCUCCGUUAUCGGCCGGACAACCAUGAUUCAUUGCUUGACAGCCCCAAAACGACACCGCAGCCCCCGAUUUCAAACCGAAAACCACCCCGAAAAGAUGAGUUGUUUACCAAGUUAUGUUCUUUUUCUUGUUUUCAGUUCACUAAUUAAGGGGUUGUGAUUGUUGGAUUAUCAAGUAUGCAAAUCCAUGAAUGAAUGCGAUGGACUUGACGUUGAGAGUGUUCAUACCUUGUUGGAAGAAUUGACAGAAUAGGAUGGGGGAGGUGUCACUCUUCAAUUUGGUUUCAACACAGAAACGGAGAGGCAGAUUGUGUAUGGGAUUACCUUGAAUUGGAUUAGGAUUGACACAGGAAUUGCUGUGAACUCUUUUUCAGGAAAUUGAUUGUGUGAUUCAGAGACGGAGAGAACGGACGGAAAGAAAGCUCGUAUAUACUGAUUCGGCUACAAUAGCAAUUCAAUGGUGAUAACGGAGGAGUGGAGUAGAAGCUGAAGCAUUUCUGUGAAGGAUACAAUUCACGUUUGGAGCAGACAAGUCACCAAGAAGAAAUUGGGCUUCAAAGAUUUAUUUGCACCACACUUAUUUAUUCAUUAGCUUAUAGGCCCAAGGGAUUUAUUUUUUAUAUUGCACUCUUUUAUUUCCCCAUGGCCCAAAGCCAUCUUGUAUACAACACGUUGGAAUUAAUAGUAUUAUUUAUUUCGCAA